CUUAACCACAUGUUUAUUAUUGUUACCAUGACGACUCAGGUCCGCUGGUAUGGUUCGUAUCGGGGAGUAGGAACAAAUGGCCUAUACGGUCAUGUAGGUCAGAGGACUUUUCUUUCUGCUCAAGUGAUGCCCUGCAACAAAUCAGAGGCAAGAAAGAAUUGUCCAGAAAAGAUGACGAGUAAACAAAGCUCUGCUCUUCAUUCAAGGUUGAGGCCAGUGCACAAAGUCGGCAUCAGGACUGAGUGACGCUGGGAAUGCUUCCGGAGGAGGAUGAGACAACAGAGAAUGGGGCAGAUGGAGCAUCCGGACAGGGAUUCUGUAUACUCCAAAUAGAAAGAAAAAAACAGCCAGUCAUCGGCAGGGAAGGCAGAGCUCAACAUUCCUCCUGAUUUUCAAAAAGAAAUUGGAAAUAAAAAUAAUGUUCAAACUGUGGUUUCUGAUAAAGACUUUCAGGUGGGCGGUGAGUGCAGCAACAUCAAAAGAGAAAUGGCAAUAAGCUUGAAGAGAUCUGAGUUCCUGCAAUUUCUGAUCAUUUAUUCUCAAAAAUCAUGCACAUCCUCUUCAUAAAUCCAGUCACGCAAAAAAAUAAAAAAUAAAAAACACACAGUGCUGCACUAUUUCCAUUAAAGUACUAUCACAGCCCAGUAGCAAUGAACUUAAUUAUAUUCGUGGUCGCAAUUAGAUGUAUAAUAACUUGUCAUUUGUUUAAUGAUUUGAAUGUCCUUGCCGCAAAUAGGGCACAGGCAAAACACCAUGACCACCUCCGCUCCAUAUCAGUCCUGUUUGAAUAUUUCAGCCUGAUAACGGGAGACAGAGAUUACUGCUGGCCUGACUGUGAAGCUCCGAGCAUGACAGCUUCACUGUUAUAAAACAGCUACAACAGUUUGUCUCGGUGACAAAUUGAAUAAAAGAGGGCUGCUCUGUUUCUCUUGAUGUUUGAAUGGAAAAAAAAAAACUGAUCUCGUCUCAGCGCUGGUCCCGCAAACAAUGGAUGUCUUCAUCCCUUUCAACUUUUCCAUGAAUACUCGUCGUCAGCCGGGGAAGAAAGUCAUCAUGAGAAUAAAAUAAUCCACUUUACAGCACAUGCACAGAUGCAGCAGGCUGUUGUGUUCAACCACAAGGAACAUUCCAAUGGCCGACAGGGGUGGAUAGAAAAGAGAGAAAGACAGGGAAAAUGAAGUAAAUAAAAACUCAGGGUCUCUUCACCACAGAUCAGCAUUCAGUCAAACUACUUGCCAGCAGAGGACUGACAGUUUGAUAUCAAAAGAUUUAAACUGCUCUUUUGCAUGCCUACCUAAACUAUUUGUCUUCUUUCUUGGCAGUGUCUCAGUCUGUAUUUCCUAGCAUCUCCACAGCUGCCUGUCUGCUCACUACAGUCAGUCAGUCAUUUGGUUUCAGGGCUGGUGGAUCAGAACUAACUCCUUCUGACUGGUGGAAGUAAAAAGCUGCUAGACCAGACACAACCCACCGUUCUCCUAUUUUGGAUCCAGACUGUCUUUCUCGACACCUGCCGCCUCCCCACCGCACCCCACCCCACCCCCCAAAUCUCAUGAUUCUUGAUCUUUCCAUCAUCAGGCCAUC